UUUUGAUGCCCACUUCUUUUCCAGAGCAGCCAGGAUUGAUGACUAAAGCUCCAACUUCCUUCCUCACAUCACUGAUGUUACGCAUGUAGGACAUGAAGUCUGGAUGAAAGGUGAAUGGCUUCUAAAUGGAUUUGCCUCCCCCCUGAGGUCAGGCACCGGCUGGUCUUUAAUCACUGUUGUCCUGUGCCUGAGCUUAUUUAUAAAUAAGCUGCAGAGUCAAAUGUGUACCACAUGUGGAAUGCCCCCCAGAAGCGUUGCCAUCAUAUGGGCCAAAUAUUGAUUUUAUAGGAAUAAGAAUGUGCAGUAAGCAACACGUGGAAAAGAAAGACUACAUUUGUUUCCCAAUAACCAAGUUAGUAGAAGACUGCAAAGCUUCUAAAAUCAUAGCCACUAUUUAGGAAGAAUUGAUCUUUGGAUGGUGGAUACCUUAGCCAGACCUUAUCUACAUAGUUCCCUUUACCAGUGGGGAGUAGAAUUUAAGGUUUUUCUGGUUCCACUUUUUGCCACGUAAGUCACCAUCUAUUCUCUGUUUUUCCCUGUCACAGGGCCUUGGAACUCAUCCGGGAAGUUUAGUCCAUCACUUUACCAAGCUAAUUUGCGACAAUCAGUCUUAGGGUGGCCCUACAGAAACCACAGUUAUUUCCAGUCUGAGCUGUUUCCCAGUUGGGACAAACAGGAAUAAUUGCCCCUGAAGAGGCCUCUGAAGUGAUUGAUCCACCUGUGUUAGGCAGGCAUAUAGUCCAGGUCUUACUGCUUCUAGCUACUUGGCACCCCUCCAUUCUCUGCCUCCAUCUCCGACCUGCAGGUUAUAUUUUUCCUUCAAUGAGUUCCCUUGCUCUUUAGACUGCCCUUGGCACUCCUGUAAUAGGCAUUUUCACACAUGUAGAAAUAGGAAAGAUGAGAGAUCGCGCAGAACAAUUUGUCUUGGUCAAUGGAUUACCUGUAGAUCAUCAGGUUGACUGAAAUUUUGAGGUCUAUGUUGUGUCCCUUGCAAUAUAAUUUUAACACAGUAUCUUUCUGAUGAUAUGGUCAUUUAAGUGAGCACUAGCAAUGCACAUGUUGCUGUGUGUGCUGAAAUACUCCCAGACUAGGUCCAAGUUAUGGACGAAAGUGUAUUGUUCUCAACGACCUCUAGCCUGGUGCUACUCCAAGUGGUGAUCCAUAGACCAGUGUCCAUCUACAAAAUUUUUAUUCCAGAUCCACUUUGGAACAAGAACAGAAAUUAAGAGCAAGAGUUUAGGAACAUUAAGGCAAUUGUACAGUGAUUUUAUGUCUGUUGAAUCUAGUAAUUAAAAUGUGUAAAACAAAA
rnacentral:lncRNA from 1 species